GAUGAACGCUGGCGGCGUGCCUAAUACAUGCAAGUCGAGCGAACGGACGAGAAGCUUGCUUUUCUGAUGUUAGCGGCGGACGGGUGAGUAACACGUGGAUAACCUACCUAUAAGACUGGGAUAACUUCGGGAAACCGGAGCUAAUACCGGAUAAUAUUUUGAACCGCAUGGUUCAAAAGUGAAAGACGGUCUUGCUGUCACUUAUAGCUGGAUCCGCGCUGCAUUAGCUAGUUGGUAAGGUAACGGCUUACCAAGGCAACGAUGCAUAGCCGACCUGAGAGGGUGAUCGGCCACACGGGAACUGAGACACGGUCCAGACUCCUACGGGAGGCAGCAGUAGGGAAUCUUCCGCAAUGGGCGAAAGCCUGACGGAGCAACGCCGCGUGAGUGAUGAAGGUCUUCGGAUCGUAAAACUCUGUUAUUAGGGAAGAACAUAUGUGUAAGUAACUGUGCACAUCUUGACGGUACCUAAUCAGAAAGCCACGGCUAACUACGUG
rnacentral:rRNA from 1 species